GUUGAAUCCUAAGAUUUCGGAAUAUUUCUAUCGAUCCAUCCCAUUAAAUGUUUUCCUAUUUAGUUGAAUCCUUAGAAAACAUACGUUAAAACCCCUAGCGAUAGACGACUCCUAUUCCUGUUGCACGUUCUCCACCAUCGACCACUUCCAACAUCGUCACCUGCACUGCUAAAACAAUCGCACCUUCACCUUGACUACACGACCUUUACCACACAUCACCAUUGUCUACCUCAUCGUCUCCCAUUUUCUCUUCACCUAUCUCUGGCUAUAAAACCCUAAACAUGAUGUUUACCACCAUACAUCACCGUCUCUACCACCAUUAUCUCUUUUAUUGAUACCAACUCUUAGUAAUUUAUGUUUUUAUUGGAUUUUUAGGAAUCUGAUGAAGUUGAAACCACCACCACGACCGUUUGUUCCGGUCGCCGCCCUCCAGGGGUUUUUAUUUGAGGCACGUAUUUAUCCUAUUCAUGGUUACGUCUUCAACCACCCAACACCGUGGUCUCCACCAUCAGGAAGAGAUGGAAACCCAAGAGGAUCGAAAUUGGGGGAAUGGUUGGAUUAAGUAGACGAUUUUGUGAAGGAAUUUCAUCGAGACAUGGCAUAUAUUCAUUGCUUUUCUCCUAAUGUUGAAUCUUGUGUUUCAGAUCUCAUACCCCAAAUCAUUAAUAUGCUAAACCAUAUAUCUUCUUAUUGUUCCUUGAAGCGACUGAAAAAAUUAUAUGAAAUGAAAGUACUUUGCCAUUUAUUAUACUUCCCAUUUCUUAUCGAUGUUUUCAUUUAUCACAGACCCUUGGUAAUGGACGUGCCUACAAUGUUGAAGGUGAUGCAUACUUUUCAGUUGAUUGGUUUCAUGAAUAGUGAUGACUUUCAAGGCGGAACUUGGAAAAUAAUCAUGACUGUGAACAAGUGGCAAUUAACUCCAGGAAAGAUAUCCAACUAAUUUUGCAUGCUCUGUGGAAAAUGACUAUGUUGAGGCAUCCGACUGUUAAUAUUCCUAUACAAUGUAUUUGACAUAAUGGUGAUUGCUACUCUUCAAAAUCAAAUAAAAGAUGUGUAUACGUGCGUGUGUGUGAAAGGAAAGGACCCAUGAACUUUGAGGUAUUUUUAAAGCGAAUAAUGCUUGGAUGUCUUUUUUCCACCUCCAAAUUUAGUAGUAGAAAAAGGUUGUAACAGGCCUAGGAGAACAAUGGAUGAUUACUAUACUUGUAGAUGUAUUUAAAAGUAAGCUUAUUAAUUUUUCAUAUCA